rnacentral:misc_RNA from 1 species
GAUGAAGAACGUAGCGAAAUGCGAUAAGUAGUGUGAAUUGCAGAAUUCAGUGAAUCAUCGAAUCUUUGAACGCACAUUGCGCCCCUUGGUAUUCCAUGGGGCAUGCCUGUUCGAGCGUCAUUUGUACCUUCAAGCUUUGCUUGGUGUUGGGUGUUUGUCCAUUCUCUUGCAGAGGGACUCGCCUUAAAGUAAUUGGCAGCCAGUAUUUUGGUUUUGAAGCGCAGCACAAGUCGCGAUUCAAAGCUAUACGCCCGCUUCCACAAGCCUUUUUCACUUUUGACCUCGGAUCAGGUAGGGAUACCCGCUGAACUUAAGCAUAUCAAUAAGCGGAGGA